rnacentral:rRNA from 1 species
AUUGAACGCUGGCGGCAGGCCUAACACAUGCAAGUCGAGCGGUAGAGAGGUGCUUGCAUCUCUUGAGAGCGGCGGACGGGUGAGUAAUGCCUAGGAAUCUGCCUAGGUGGUGGGGGAUAACGCUCGGAAACGGACGCUAAUACCGCAUACGAUCUACGGAUGAAAGCGGGGGAUCGCAAGACCUCGCGCGAUUGGAGCGGCCGAUAUCAGAUUAGGUAGUUGGUGAGGUAAAGGCUCACCAAGCCGACGAUCUGUAGCUGGUCUGAGAGGACGACCAGCCACACUGGGACUGAGACACGGCCCAGACUCCUACGGGAGGCAGCAGUGGGGAAUUUUGGACAAUGGGCGCAAGCCUGAUCCAGCAAUGCCGCGUGCAGGAUGAAGGCCUUCGGGUUGUAAACUGCUUUUGUACGGAACGAAACGGUGAGCUCUAAUACAGUUUGCUAAUGACGGUACCGUAAGAAUAAGCACCGGCUAACUACGUG